rnacentral:tRNA from 1 species
UUUUUUAUAGUUUAAAGAAAACAUUACAUUUUCAAUGUAAAAUUAGAUUUAGUCUUAAAAAAA